UACGUAGGGUGCAAGCGUUAAUCGGAAUUACUGGGCGUAAAGCGUGCGCAGGCGGUUUUGUAAGUCUGUCGUGAAAUCCCCGGGCUCAACCUGGGAAUUGCGAUGGAGACUGCAAGGCUAGAAUCUGGCAGAGGGGGGUAGAAUUCCACGUGUAGCAGUGAAAUGCGUAGAGAUGUGGAGGAACACCGAUGGCGAAGGCAGCCCCCUGGGUCAAGAUUGACGCUCAUGCACGAAAGCGUGGGGGCAAACAGG
rnacentral:rRNA from 1 species